rnacentral:rRNA from 1 species
AUUGACUAAGGUUUCCAGAGGAAGGCUCGUCCGCUCUGGGUUAGUCGGGUCCUAAGCUGAGGCCGACAGGCGUAGGCGAUGGAUAACAGGUUGAUAUUCCUGUACCACCUAUAAUCGUUUUAAUCGAUGGGGGGACGCAGUAGGAUAGGCGAAGCGUGCGAUUGGAUUGCACGUCUAAGCAGUAAGGCUGAGUAUUAGGCAAAUCCGGUACUCGUUAAGGCUGAGCUGUGAUGGGGAGAAGACAUUGUGUCUUCGAGUCGUUGAUUUCACACUGCCGAGAAAAGCCUCUAGAUAGAAAAUAGGUGCCCGUACCGCAAACCGACACAGGUAGUCAAGAUGAGAAUUCUAAGGUGAGCGAGCGAACUCUCGUUAAGGAACUCGGCAAAAUGACCCCGUAACUUCGGGAGAAGGGGUGCUCUUUAGGGUUAACGCCCAGAAGAGCCGCAGUGAAUAGGCCCAAGCGACUGUUUAUCAAAAACACAGGUCUCUGCUAAACCGUAAGGUGAUGUAUAGGGGCUGACGCCUGCCCGGUGCUGGAAGGUUAAGAGGAGUGGUUAGCUUCUGCGAAGCUACGAAUCGAAGCCCCAGUAAACGGCGGCCGUAACUAUAACGGUCCUAAGGUAGCGAAAUUCCUUGUCGGGUAAGUUCCGACCCGCACGAAAGGCGUAACGAUUUGGGCACUGUCUCAACGAGAGACUCGGUGAAAUCAUAGUACCUGUGAAGAUGCAGGUUACCCGCGACAGGACGGAAAGACCCCGUGGAGCUUUACUGUAGCCUGAUAUUGAAAUUCGGCACAGCUUGUACAGGAUAGGUAGGAGCCUUUGAAACGUGAGCGCUAGCUUACGUGGAGGCGCUGGUGGGAUACUACCCUAGCUGUGUUGGCUUUCUAACCCGCACCACUUAUCGUGGUGGGAGACAGUGUCAGGCGGGCAGUUUGACUGGGGCGGUCGCCUCCUAAAAGGUAACGGAGGCGCUCAAAGGUUCCCUCAGAAUGGUUGGAAAUCAUUCAUAGAGUGUAAAGGCAUAAGGGAGCUUGACUGCGAGACCUACAAGUCGAGCAGGGUCGAAAGACGGACUUAGUGAUCCGGUGGUUCCGCAUGGAAGGGCCAUCGCUCAACGGAUAAAAGCUACCCCGGGGAUAACAGGCUUAUCUCCCCCAAGAGUUCACAUCGACGGGGAGGUUUGGCACCUCGAUGUCGGCUCAUCGCAUCCUGGGGCUGUAGUCGGUCCCAAGGGUUGGGCUGUUCGCCCAUUAAAGCGGUACGCGAGCUGGGUUCAGAACGUCGUGAGACAGUUCGGUCCCUAUCCGUCGUGGGCGUAGGAAAUUUGAGAGGAGCUGUCCUUAGUACGAGAGGACCGGGAUGGACAUACCUCUGGUGUACCAGUUGUCGUGCCAACGGCAUAGCUGGGUAGCUAUGUGUGGACGGGAUAAGUGCUGAAAGCAUCUAAGCAUGAAGCCCCCCUCAAGAUGAGAUUUCCCAACUUCGGUUAUAAGAUCCCUCAAAGAUGAUGAGGUUAAUAGGUUCGAGGUGGAAGCAUGGUGACAUGUGGAGCUGACGAAUACUAAUCGAU